UACGUAGGGACCAAGCGUUGUUCGGAUUUACUGGGCGUAAAGGGCGCGUAGGCGGCUUGACAAGUCACUUGUGAAAUCUCCGGGCUUAACUCGGAACGGCCAAGUGAAACUGUCAUGCUAGAGUGCAAAAGGGGCAAUCGGAAUUCUUGGUGUAGCGGUGAAAUGCGUAGAUAUCAAGAGGAACACCUGAGGUGAAGACGGGUUGCUGGGCUGACACUGACGCUGAGGCGCGAAAGCCAGGGGAGCAAACGGG
rnacentral:rRNA from 1 species